rnacentral:rRNA from 1 species
AUACGGAGGGUGCGAGCGUUGUUCGGAAUUACUGGGCGUAAAGAGAGUGUAGGCGGCUAAUUAAGUCUGGUGUGAAAGCCCGGGGCUCACCCCCGGAAGUGCGCUGGAAACUGGUUAGCUAGAGUAUGGGAGAGGGAAGUGGAAUUCCUGGUGUAGCGGUGAAAUGCGUAGAUAUCAGGAGGAACACCGGCGGCGAAGGCGGCUUCCUGGACCAAUACUGACGCUGAGACUCGAAAGCGUGGGGAGCAAACAGGAUUAGAUACCCCAGUAGUCC